rnacentral:rRNA from 1 species
AUGAACGCUGGCGGCGUGCCUAAUACAUGCAAGUCGAGCGAACAGACGAGGAGCUUGCUCCUCUGACGUUAGCGGCGGACGGGUGAGUAACACGUGGAUAACCUACCUAUAAGACUGGGAUAACUUCGGGAAACCGGAGCUAAUACCGGAUAAUAUAUUGAACCGCAUGGUUCAAUAGUGAAAGACGGUUUUGCUGUCACUUAUAGAUGGAUCCGCGCCGCAUUAGCUAGUUGGUAAGGUAACGGCUUACCAAGGCAACGAUGCGUAGCCGACCUGAGAGGGUGCUCGGCCACCCUGGAACUGAGACACGGUCCAGACUCCUACGGGAGUCAGCAGUAGGGAAUCUUCCGCACUGGGCGAAAGCCUGACGGAGCAACGCCGCGUGAGUGAUGAAGUUCUUCGGAUCGUAAACCUCUGUUAUUAGGGAAGAACAAAUGUGUAAGUAACUAUGCACGUCUUGACGGUACCUAAUCAGAAAGCCCCGGCUAACUACGUG